rnacentral:misc_RNA from 1 species
UACAGAGACCUCAAGCGUUAUCCGGAAUCAUUGGGCGUAAAGCGUUCCGAUCGGCGGUUUGGUAAGUCUGGGGUAAAAACCAGGAGCUCAACUCCUGGCUCGCCUCGGAUACUACCCGACUAGAGGGGCAAAGAGGUGCUUGGAACGAACGGUGUAGCAGUGAAAUGCGUUGAUAUCGUUCGGAACACCAAUAGCGAAGGCAGAGCACUGGGUGCCACCUGACGCUGCUAGGACGAAAGCGUGGGGAGCGAAUGGG